rnacentral:lncRNA from 10 species
AGAACACCUUCCAACUCAACAUAAGGCAGCUACAGGUUGGAGUGCAAUGGCGCAAUCUUGGCUCACGACAACCUCCGCCUCCCGGGUAUAAGUGAUUCUCCUGCCUCGGCCUCCCGAGUAGCUGAGAUUACAGCCUUAAACCGAUUAAAUGAAGUCUUGACAGCCAGCAGCCUGCAUCCACUACAGAAAAAACGACACCUUGAAUCACACCUUCACUUGAAUUCAGUUGAGUUCCAGUGACUACCACCUCUGUGCUUUGUCAACUUUGGGUUGAGUCCUUUCCUGAAAACACAUCAGUAAUGAUGCAUGCCCCGCAUCCAGCUUCCCACCAAGAAGAAAAAAGAGAGGAGGAUGAGGAAAGCCAUGGAGUGAUUUACCAAAGUGCUUGUUACAGUGAAAAACACAGCCCACAGGCACUGAGGUGGGACUACAGAACCUUGCUGGACCACAUCUUUUCAGCACAUUUCUGUGACCCUCUGUUUUUGAUGGAGAAAACAACGCUACUGUUAUGAAACACAGAAUGGAGUCUUCAUUAAUCUUCCAGCA